CACCUGACGGAUUGCUAGGCUUGAGGAGAGAUGAAGGACGUGGCAAGCUGCGAUAAGCUCGGGGUAGGCGCACGCAUCCUAUGAUCCCGAGAUUUCCGAAUAGGACUUCCUGCUGCAGGUUUACCUGUGGCACCCCUAAUAGGGGUGGGAACCCCCCAAACGGAAGCAUCCAAGUAGGGGGAGGAAGAGAAAUCAAUUGAGAUUCCCUUAGUAGCGGCGAGCGAAAGGGGAAGAGUCCAAACUGAACCUGUAUGGGAAACUAUGCAGGGAUGUGGUGUUGUAGGGCCUGACCGCUCCCUCACCUGUGAAGUUGAAGUGGCCUGGAACGGCCUGCCAAAGAGGGUGAUAGCCCCGUAAACGUAAGCAGGUAGGGGUUGGGUUGGUGUCCCUGAGUACUAUGCUUUGGUUCAAGCAUAGGAAGCUGGGAGGAAACAACUUCCAAGGCUAAAUAUCUCUCAAGACCGAUAGUGCACUAGUACCGUGAGGGAAAGCUGAAAAGUACCCCGGAAGGGGGGUGAAAAGUGCAUGAAACCUAUUGGUUACAGACGUUUACGGUCUGAAAGGAUAGAUCCCCUCCGAAGGAAACCUUAGCAAUAAGGAAUACGAGGAGGGGGGACCAAGAUCGUAUGUUCCGUUUUGGAGCACGGGCCGGGGAGUUCAUCUUUGUGGUGAGGUUAAGGGUUAGAAGCCUGGAGCCGUAGGGAAACCGACUGUCCACAGCAUCGUUUAUUCGGUGUGAGGGACGGGAUAUGAAAGUGUCCGUAAUCACAGGGAUGACACUAGAAACCGAGUGAUCUAACCUUGGGCAGGGUGAAGCCCAGCGAAAGCUGGGUCGAGGCCCGAAGGAGUGUUGACGUGCAAUUCACUUCUCAGACUUGAGGUUAGGGGCAAAAGACCAAUCUAACUCGGUGAUAGCUAGUUCCCGCCGAAAUAUCUCGUAGGAUAGCCCAGCUCGAGGUUUCUGGCAGGGUAGAGUACUGAUUGAAAAGUAAGGGGCCGAAAGGUCCUCCUUUUCGUUCAAACUUCGAAUAUGCCAGAGCUGUAGACAGCUGGAGACGGGCAAUGGGGUAAGCUCAUAUGUCGCGAGGGGAACAACCCGAACUAAGGUUAAGGUCCCGAAAUCCUAGCUAAAUGUAGAAAUCGAAGGUUGUCCUCAACCAAAGACAGCUGGAAGGUAGGCUUAGAAGCAGCCACCCUCCAAGCAGUGCGUAACAGCUGACCAGCCGAGGUUGGGGGCGCCGAAAAUAGACGGGACUAAGCUAGGUACCGAUACCUUAGAGCACGGCAGUAGCCGUGUUGGUAGGCGGGCGUUGUGGUCGGGUGGAAGCUGGGUCGUNNUGGAAGCUGGGUCGUAAGAUCCAGUGGACUGUCCACAAGUGCAGAUCCCGGCGUCAGUAACAGCUAAGAAGAGUGAGAAUCUCUUCCGCCGAAAGGGCAAGGGUUCCCCGGCAAUGCGUCGUCAGCCGGGGGUAAGUCGGUCCUAAGGAUAGCCUUAACUGAGCAUUCCGAAAGGGAAACCGGUUAAUAUUCCGGUACCACGGAGAUACAUGCGGCAACGCGAGUCUGCAGCAAAACGUUUCCGGAUAGGUUGAGUGAAGCUGUCACUUCAUUUAACCCUUUAAACUCAGGGAGUACCGUAAUGGUGAGAACUGAGUGAAGUGGGGAAUAGCCGCCCGUUUUAGGGUGGUUCAGCUGAUUCCAGGAACCAGUGAAAAUUCUGCAGAAAGGAUUCUUCGUGAUCGUACCCAGAACUGACACAGGUGCCCUAGGUGAGAAGCCUCAGACGUAUCAGGUCCAACUCAGGGCGAGGGAAUUCGGCAAAAUAGCCCCGUAACUUAGGAAUAAGGGGUGCCUGAAGCCUUAGCUUCGGCUGGGGUUUCAGGUCGCAGUGACAAAGGGGAGGCGACUGUUUAAUAAAAACACAGGCGACUGCUAGUCCGAAAGGAUGUGUAUAGUCGCUGAAUCCUGGCCGGUGCCGGUACCUAAAACUUGGGUUCAACCGAGCUAAGGGCCGGUUAACGCCGGGAGUAACUCUGACUCUCUUAAGGUAGCCANNAUGAAUGGACCAACGACCCCCCCACUGUCCCCGCCUGGGGCCUGGUGAACUCACAUAACUUAGACGAACAGUCUAGGAUCUCCCAGCGGGGCGAAAAGUCCCUGUGGAAUUUUACUGCAGCUUGCUGCUGGGACGUGGUCUCGGGUACAGAGUGUAGGUGGGAGCCUUCGAGCCAUCCUCUCCGGGGGGUGGGGAGGCGCCAAUGUAACACCACCUAUCCGAGGUUACUUCUCUUACCGGAGGCAACUCCGAUACAACGGCAGGUGGGCAGUUUGGCUGGGGCGGCACCCCCUCGACAAGAGAUCAAGGGGGCCCUAAGCUCGACUCAUCCGGGUCAGAACUCCGGAGUAGAGGGCAAGACCAAAAGUCGGGCUGACUGGAUCCUCAACAGCAAGGGAUCCAGAGGCGAAAGCCGGGUCUAGCGAUCAUUCAUGUCCCUAUUGUUGGGGGCUGGAUGUGACAGAAAAAUUACCCCAGGAGUAAUUGGCUCGUCUCCUCCGAGAGUCCCUAUCGACGAGGAGGAUUGGUACUCCGUCGUCGUCCCUUCCCAUCCUGGGUCCGCAGCAGGGCCCAAGGGUGCGGCUGUUCGCCGAUCAAAGGGGAAUGCGAGAUGGGUUUAGACCGUCGCGAGACAGGUCGGAUUCUACCUGCUGGGAGUGUUGGUCGCCUGAGGGCAAGGCGCCCCUAGUACGAGAGGAACGGGGUAUCGUAGCCUCUAGUUUACCGGUUGUCCGACAGGGCAGUGCCGGGCAGCCACGCUGCCGAGGAUAAGAGCUGAAAGCAUCUAAGCUCGAAACCUCUCCCGAAAAUAGGCGGCC
rnacentral:rRNA from 1 species